GCCUGGCCCUAAAUCUUGAUGCUCGAUAUUACCUGAGCGUCCGCCCGAGAACUACGAGCACAAACGCUUAAAACUCUAAGGACUUGGCGGUGCUCCAAACCCACCUAGAGGAGCCUGUUCUGUAAUCGAUGAUCCACGAUAUUACCUGACCAUUCCUUGCACGAAGCAGCCUACAUACCGCCGUCGCCAGCCCACCUUUAAUAGACAGCCCAACAGUGGACGCAAUAGCCUAACCCGCUAGCAAGACAGGUCAAGGUAUAGCCCACGGAAUGGAAGCAAUGGGCUACAUUUUCUARAAUAGAACAUACGGAUAAGGGUAUGAAACUGCCCUUGGAAGGCGGAUUUAGCAGUAAAGAGAGACAAUUGAGCUCUCUUUAAGCCGGCUCUGGAGCACGU
rnacentral:rRNA from 1 species